CAAAAAAUGUUUUUUAUUCUAAUAAAAUAUAUAAAAUUUUUUAUAUUUUUGUUAAAUUUGAUUUGGUUAAAGAGAAAAAUCCCUUAUUUUUUUAUCCAAUUUAUAAAAAAAAAUAAGUAGAAAAUUUAAUUCCUUAAUAAUUAAUUAUUAUUGAGAAUAAGGGAGAGAAUUCUAGCUAAAUUUGUGCCAGCAGCGGCGGUUAGACAAAUAGAAAUUUUCUUAUUUUAAUUAAUUUAAUUUUUUAUAAUAAAAUUUUAUUAAAAAAAAUAAGGUGAAAUUUAUUUUUUAACUUUUUUAGAAAUAAAAUUAAAACUCUUUAAAAAAACUAGGAUUAGAUACCCUAUUAUUAAGAAUAAAAAAUUGUAAGUAAAUAUUAAUUACGAAAGCAAAAAAUUAUGGCGGUAUUUUAAGCUUUUCAGAGGAAUUUGCUCUUUAAUGGAUAAAACACCUAGACCUUACUUAAAUUAGUACUUUUCAGUUUGUAUACCACUAUUAUAAUAAUAAUUUAUUAUUAUUAUUAAUAUUCUUAAAUUAGAAGAAAAUUAAGUCAAGGUGCAGCAUAAAUUUAUGAAUGAAGUGAAUUACAUUUCUUUUAAGAAAAAUAAAAUUGAAAUAAAACAUUUAGGAUUUGAUAGUAAAAUUAAAAUAUUAAGUUAAUUUGAAUAAAGCUCUAAAAUAUGUACAUAUCGCCCGUCACUCUUUUAUAAGAUAAGUCGUAACAAAGUUAAAAUACUGGAAAGUGUUUUAAAAAAAAA
rnacentral:ncRNA from 1 species